UUGUAUGCCAUUAGUUGUAUACAGGCUGUUCAGACCCUCUCCCUCCUGCCAAUUGUGUGGGAGGAGUGACCUCCCUCGUUCGCCCCUGGCGGCUGUCCAGCUUUUCAGAAGAACAACUACCCCUAGGAGAAUCAGGUUUAAUUAAUUGAUUAAUUAAUGUUGGUAAUCAACUUGACACUGUUAUUGUUAUGGUUGUUAUCUACCUACUUUGGGUGUUCAGUAAACAAAAAGGAGCGAAUGUGACAGUGGAGGUCAAGUGCUGAGCAGAUAACAGCCUAAUAGAGGUGCCAAAGGAGGUGCCAACAAUCAAUCAAUUUUUUUUCUUAAGAAAAAGAGACAGUGAUAAUAUUAUAUUAUAAUAAAAGAAUGUUCAAAACAACG
rnacentral:sRNA from 2 species